UGUUGCUCAUCACGUUCUGUGCUCCAUGAAAUACUUAACGACCCUAACAACCGCUUCCGUAUCUUUGCUAUGUCCGAGUUGUAGCCAAAAUCGUAGACUUAGUAAACACUUGGUUUUAAAAACGAUUUUCUCCUUCUUCAUUGGAGGAUCCAAUGGAACUAGUUUAUCUCGUGGACAAGAGCCGGAAACUUUGCACCCAAAAAUGUCCUUCUAGAAAGCAAUGUCACUGAAUUGAUUGCACCAACUUGAAGCCUUCCGACAAAAAUACUUUUCCUGCGGAGCCCGAUUUUUUAAUCAUUGCUUAAAAAAUAUAGAAAACAGAAAACCAACGAUGAAAAUCGAAAAAAGGGGCACGCAGCAAAAGUUUUACGCGAGUUAUGAUGACUACGGUAGCCUUACCGAUAAGAUACAGAGACA